rnacentral:rRNA from 1 species
UACGAAGGGGGCUAGCGUUGUUCGGAUUUACUGGGCGUAAAGCGCACGUAGGCGGAUCGAUCAGUCAGGGGUGAAAUCCCAGAGCUCAACUCUGGAACUGCCUUUGAUACUGUCGAUCUGGAGUAUGGAAGAGGUGAGUGGAAUUCCGAGUGUAGAGGUGAAAUGCGUAGAUAUCUGGAGGAACACCGGUGGCGAAGGCGGCAUUCUGGACCGAUAUUGACGCUGAGGAGCGAAAGCCAGGGGAGCAAACGGG